UUCUUCUUCCAAAUUCUUUUUCUCUUUUAGGGGCCAUUUUUUCUUUGAUUUUCUUCUCUUUCUCUUUGCUCAAUCUACUUUUACAUUUUCUUCUUGUGAUUCGAUUAUCUUUCUCUCGGGUUGUUACUUGGUUUCUAAAACCUAAAUCAAGUUCUAUAAAAACAAAAACAUGUUAAUUAACCCUAAGCCUAGUUGUUCAAGUGGCAUCCUGUUGAUUCACGCCUAGUGUUACAAGUUUUGAAAGAUGAUUGUGGUUGAUAUCCGAAGAUAUCAGAAAAGGCAGAAACGAACUCUUUAACGAUGACAUCUUCUGGAAAAAUAUCAUGAUUCGCCCCAAAUUGUGGCUUGCAAAUGAUGGAAAUUACAAGGAACCUCGAUGGUUUACAACAUAGAAGCAAAAAGACCAGCUCAUGGAUUUCCAACUCCCAAAUGAAAUUUUCGAGGCUUCAUCUCAAAAGUCAAUGCCUUUUGCUUAUGAGUUCCUUCAGUUUUUAGUCACGUUGCUAGCAUGAGAGAAUCUAUAAGUAGUUUUUAGGAGCAAGCAAGCUGCAAAACCAGAAUAGCAUCUGUGACGGUGUCAUAUAAUCUUUGUCCAUCUUUAAACCUGAAAAUCUCACUAUCGAGUCCACUUUAGGUCUGUUACUGGUUUAGUAAGCAUUAUAAAAAGCAACAUGAUCGGUGUUAUUAUUAUAAUUUCUGUUAGUGAAUGGUUCUUUUUAUUUGUUAUUGGUUCGGGUAUUAUGGAGCUAUUCUAUUUAUGCUUUGAAAUGUUUACUAGUUUAACUGUUGGUAUUUAGGAGUUAUGCAAGUGACUACUGCUUUUGAAUUGGAAAUUCUUGCUUUUGAGUAAUUAAUUUGGUUGAAAUUUAGGUGCUUCCUACUGGUUUUGUCUCCGUGAAAAUUGGGAAUUUGGCUUAUCUUACUAUAUACUUCUAUUUUAAUAUAUGCCUCUUGAAGAAAUCUAAAUAUGAACUUAGAACUUUCUCUUAACCCUGACCCAACAAAGGAAUAGUUGAUGGAAAAUAUUGUAUUGUUGUUUGUUGAUUAUAGUGUUUUGUUUCAUGUGUUUCUGGGCUUAAUGGUUUAGUGGUGAGUAUGUUGCUAGUGGAGUUUGAAUUUUUAUCAUGUUGUGCUUCCGUUCACUUCAUUUAUAUGGUUGUGUGGCUUUUGUUGAAGUUGAAGAUUAAGUUUCUGUUUGUGUUGCAAUUGUAGAUUGUGUUGAUUUUGAUGGUGGAAUGUCUGAUUGUGCUGUUUAUGUUGUAGUUACAGAUUCUGUAUAUAUCUUGUUGAUUAUGUGUAGAUUUUGCACUGUUAAGUGUGUUUGCAUCGCAAUUGCAGAUUUUGGAUAUACUAGUUGCAGAUUUUGGCUUUUUCAGUUAUAGAUUCUGGUUAUAUCAUUUUGGCUAAAUCUAGUGCUGAUUUUGAGUA